UUCCGUAGGGGGGACCUGCGGAAGGAUCAUUACUGAGUUAGGGUCUCCAAGGCCCGACCUCCAACCCUGUGUCUACUAUACCACUGUUGCUUCGGCGGGCCCGUCCUGUCUAUCAUGGACAGGCCGCCGGGGGGGAACUUAUCCCUCCUGGCCAGUGCCCGUCGGUGGCCAUUAACUAAACUCUUGAUGAAUUGUGUCGUCUGAGUCUUAGAGUAUAAUUAAAAACAAAACUUUCAACAACGGAUCUCUUGGUUCUGGCAUCGAUGAAGAACGCAGCGAAAUGCGAUAAGUAAUGCGAAUUGCAGAAUUUCCGUGAGUCAUCGAAUCUUUGAACGCACAUUGCGCCCUUUGGCAUUCCGAAGGGCAUGCCUGUUCGAGCGUCAUUAUCACCCCUCAAGCUCUGGCUUGGUGUUGGAAUCUUCAGUUGAGUGAUCAACUGGUUCCCAAAGGCAAUGACGGAGUCCGUGGGACCCUCGGUGCAAUGAGCUUUAACCAGCACGCAUCAGAGUAUAAAGGCCCCUCGGCACGGUCUUCAAUCUUCUUCCAUUUUUUGAAGGUGACCUCGG
rnacentral:rRNA from 1 species